GUCAACGAUCAUACCAUGUUGAAAACACCAGUUCUCGUCCGAUCACUGAAGUUAAGCAACAUCGGGCGCGAUUAGUACAUUGGCUACCUAAGACAGGUUUUGCCUUCU
rnacentral:rRNA from 2 species